UUCCCUUUCCCUUUCCCUUUCCCUUUCCCUUUCCCACAGUGUCCCCUCAGUUGUUCCCCUGCCCCAGCUCCCACCCCGCUCUCCUCCAUCCCUUCUCAGAGCUCUGCCGUGUGAAGUCCCCCCUCCCUCCCCGUGGUCCCUGCCUGCUCUCCCGGUGAGCCGUGCCCUUCCCUCACUCCAGGUGUGCCCUGUCCCACCCUGGCUGUCGCUCCAGAGCUGCUGGAGCUCCGUGACCACACGUGGAGCUGCAGCUCCUCGAGGCAGGUGGCCCUUUGCCCUGCUCUGUGGCUCCUCCAGCCUCUCCUGCUCCUGCUGCUCUGCAUCCUUCUGAUCUGGGAGCGCCUGCAGGGAGAGCUGUGGUGGCUGCAGCCCCUGUACCCGUGCUCCGGAGGGACAGCUGGGUUGUUACAUGAUGUAGUUAUUAGCCAUUGUUAGUCCAAACAUCACAUGAAACAAUAAUUAAGAUUUGUGACAUAAUUGCCUUACAAAAGCCCAUUGAGAAGGAGAAGCAAUAAUAAAGCUGAAAGAAAGAACUGGUUGUUGCUGGGACAACUGAAACUGUAGCAGCAGGAAGGAUGUUUCCCAGCAGGCCAUGCAGGGAGAAUUGCACAGUGGGGCAUUGCAGCCAAAAGAAAUAUGCUCCUGAAGCUGCUGGAAUUUCAGAGUAGUGGUGCAAGAAGACAUGUGAUGAUCUUCAAACAUUUCAACUGUUUGUUGUUUUUAAAUUUAUAUAUUUUAAUAUAUAGGGUUUUUAGGUUUUAAAAUUCAUAUAUUAUUUUAUGCAAAGUGCAAUCCAUUUAAUGAAUGGACCUGGGGGCUGUGACUGUUCUUAGUCCUACUUUGCUGUAGUAAACUGGUGUCAUUCUGCU